rnacentral:lncRNA from 1 species
UGUGCAGGAAUGGAAAAUCUUCCCCAAAUAUGUGUAGAUACUUCUGAUGCGUUUUUAACCACUCAAAGAUUUGGUACACGAGAAGAUGUGAUCAGAUGGAUUAAAGAGGUUGGAAUCGAUAAUAAAGUAAUUGUUAUUAUCACUCGUUCAGAUACUGAAACAGACAAGAGAGGAAGAAGUAACAAAUUAAUAUUUGGUUGUGAUAAAUGUGGGAAAC